rnacentral:rRNA from 1 species
UACGGAGGGUGCAAGCGUUAUCCGGAUUUACUGGGUUUAAAGGGUGCGUAGGUGGGCAGUUAAGUCAGUGGUGAAAUCUCCGAGCUUAACUCGGAAACUGCCAUUGAUACUAUCUGUCUUGAAUAUCCUGGAGGUGAGCGGAAUAUGUCAUGUAGCGGUGAAAUGCUUAGAUAUGACAUAGAACACCAAUUGCGAAGGCAGCUCACUACGGGGUCAUUGACACUGAGGCACGAAAGCGUGGGGAGCGAACAGG